AUUGAACGCUGGCGGCAGGCCUAACACAUGCAAGUCGAACGAGUGGCGGACGGGUGAGUAAUGUCUGGGCAACUGCCUGAUGUACGGGGAUAACUACUGGAAACGGUAGCUAAUACCGCAUACCAUCAGAUGUGCCCAGAUGGCAUUAGCUAGUUGGUGGGGUAACGGCUCACCAAGGCGACGAUCCCUAGCUGGUCUGAGAGGAUGACCAGCCACACUGGAACUGAGACACGGUCCAGACUCCUACGGGAGGCAGCAGUGGGGAAUAUUGCACAAUGGGCGCAAGCCUGAUGCAGCCAUGCCGCGUGUAUGAAGAAGGCCUUCGGGUUGUAAAGUACUUUCAGCGGGGAGGCGUUACCCGCAGAAGAAGCACCGGCUAACUCCGUGCCAGCAGCCGCGGUAAUUC
rnacentral:rRNA from 1 species